UAUGCGCGCCAGACAGGAAUCGAACCUGUAACCUACUGCUUAGAAGGCAGUUGCUCUAUCCAAUUGAGCUACUAGCGCA
rnacentral:tRNA from 1 species